rnacentral:rRNA from 1 species
ACACAUCUUAGAGCCUAAUUCACCUUAAUUAAAUAAUCAAAAUUACAUUCAAAUCCAAAUUCAUGACUCUGAUUUUUAAAAUCAAUCCUAAAAUAAAUUUAAUGUAAUCCAUUACUACUUAUAAACAACUGCACCUUGAUCUGAUUUAACAUAAAAUAAAAUUUUAAAAUUAUAUAUUUCUAAAAAUAAUUAACAACGACGAUAUACAAGCAAAAAUAAGUUAUAUAAAUCGUGGACUAUCGAUUACAGAACAGAUUCCCCUGAUUGGAAUAAAACACCGCCAAAUUUUUUAAUUUUAAAGAACUUAACUCACACUAAUUAGGUUAAUAACCUCUACACCUAAAAUAAUGGGGUAUCUAAUCCCAGUUUUUUACCUAGAUUUCUUAGCUUCAGAAACAAAAAAACUAAUUAAAUAAAAAAUAGGAUUUCACCCAAUAUUUAAAUAAAUAAAAAUUAAUUUUUAUUAACUAAAUAUUAAAAACCAAAAAAAAAUAAUAGUAUUAUUUGUAUAACCGCA